UACGAAGGGGGGCUAGCGUUGCUCGGAAUCACUGGGCGUAAAGCGCACGUAGGCGGAUUGUUAAGUCAGGGGUGAAAUCCUGGAGCUCAACUCCAGAACUGCCUUUGAUACUGGCGAUCUCGAGCUCGGGAGAGGUGAGUGGAACUGCGAGUGUAGAGGUGAAAUUCGUAGAUAUUCGCAAGAACACCAGUGGCGAAGGCGGCUCACUGGCCCGGUACUGACGCUGAGGUGCGAAAGCGUGGGGAGCAAACAGGG
rnacentral:rRNA from 1 species